CCAAUAGCGUAUAUUAAAGUUGUUGCAGUUAAAAAGCUCGUAGUUGAAUUUCGGGAUUGACACAUCGGUCGUGCCUUAAGGGGUAUGAACUGGUGUAGUCAAUUUCUCACCUUCUGGAGAACCGCAAUGCCCUUAAUUGGGUGUCGCGGGGAACCAGGACCUUUACUUUGAAAAAAUUAGAGUGUUUAAAGCAGGCAUUUUGCUUGAAUACAUUAGCAUGGAAUAAUAAAAUAGGACGGCAUGAUUCUAUUUUGUUGGUUUCUAGGAUCACCGUAAUGAUUAAUAGGGAUAGUUGGGGGCAUUAGUAUUCAAUUGUCAGAGGUGAAAUUCUUGGAUUUAUUGAAGACUAACUACUGCGAAAGCAUUGGCCAAGGAUGUUUUCAUUAAUCAAGAACGAAAGUUAGGGGAUCGAAGACGAUCAGAUACCGUCGUAGUCUUAACCAUAAACUAUGCCGACUAGGAAUCAGACGAUGUUAAUUUUUUAAUGACUCGUUUGGCACCUUACG
rnacentral:rRNA from 1 species